UCCUACGGGACGCAGCAGUGAGGAAUAUUGGUCAAUGGGCGGGAGCCUGAACCAGCCAAGCCGCGUGAGGGAAGAAGGUACGGCGUAUCGUAAACCUCUUUUGUCAGGGAACAAAGGCGGGGACUAGUCCCCGGAUGAGGGUACCUGAAGAAAAAGCAUCGGCUAACUCCGUGCCAGCAGCCGCGGUAAUACGGAGGAUGCGAGCGUUAUCCGGAUUUAUUGGGUUUAAAGGGUGCGUAGGCGGAACAUUAAGUCAGCGGUAAAAUCGAGGGGCUCAACCCCUUUAAGCCGUUGAAACUGGUGAU
rnacentral:rRNA from 1 species